CAAAUUCCUUGUGUGUUCAAGCAUACUUGGCCAAUAAAGCUGAUUCUGAUUCAUAUAUAUAUUGAUACAUCACUUGACUUGAUGCAUUUACUUAUGAAAAAUUUAUUUUUGCACUGUAGGAAUUUCUAAAAAGCUGAACCAGAUAACGAAGCUGAAGGGCUGUGAAAAACUCCAGAAGUGGAUCAGAGGAAUAAAAAACCACAUAUACUGGACCGCAGCUUCAUCAACCACUGGACCAGAGAGAGUGGCAAAGUGGACCUCAACCAUGAACCAUGUCCAAAACAUCCACACACAUGAAAAUCCUCUGUACCCCCAGUGCCAGCACCCACUGCGCCAGACAACGGACAUGGGUAAAUGGAUUUCAGAAGAAAAUCCUGCCUUAUACCGGCUGGAGAAGGUGCUGACAAACAAGAGGACUUUGAAGGAUGUGGAGAAACUGAGCCCUCAUCACCAGACUUCAUCUGUUGAGGCUUUCCACAGCGUCAUCAUUCGUUUCGCCCCUAAAAGUGUCGUCUUUCCCUGUCUUGGAAUGCUGUGCAGACUCUACCUGGCUGCCAUGUACUAGAAUGAGAAUGCUGGCAGACCACAAGCCCAAACAACAGAAGGUGAACCUCUCUUCAAGGUUAACUUUCCAAAGGCCUUGAAGGGGGGAUGCAGAGCAAAACCAGUAAAAGUUGAGCCAACAUACCGGUAUGUUGAUGACAUGUUGGACCUCGUGCUGGAAACAGUAUUUGUGGACCCGUCAUCAUACACUGAGGCUGUGCUUGCCAUCCCCAUCCCUGAAGACCUCUCGGCACAAUACGAGCGGCCUGACAGGGAGGAAGUCAUAGCCAGCCAUGUGUCGCGGUUUAAUCGAGGGGAGGUCUAAAACCCACAUACUGGUUCUCGGCAUCAGGAAACUCUGUCCGGAUCCGUAGCACCACACAGGAUGGAAUGACCACUCUGAUUUUGCGCCCAAAGAAGCCCCAGCACCAGCUUACAAAGCUCCUGUAGGCCAGAUACCUGUAGCGGCUGCAGAAAUUGAACAGUAUUACUGUGUGAAAAAUUGUAUGUGUGUCUGACCCUUUUUUUUUUUUUUAACCCACAUUUGUGGAUAGUUUUUACAGUGUAUUUUUUAGGAACAGCAGCAUUUCUGAUAUUUGCAAAAAUGCUAUUAUAUUUGCACAGAUUGUACAUUAUUUCAUUUUAAUAAAUCCUGAGUUUGUA